ensembl:lncRNA
GAGUUUUUAUUGAGAUGCUUUGAAGUUGAAGCACUGUGAGUGGGUGAGUUGGAAAAUGAAACUAGUGGGCAACACACUCCUACCUGAGGACGCAAUGACUCUGGUCUUUUCACAGUCGUUCUAAUGCGAGGCAUCGCACACACACACACACAGGUUUUAAACAGGCAGUCAAAUGAGUCAGGUUAUUAUUCAAGAGAGGCAGAAGGUGAAUGUAUUUAAGUAAAUGUGCCACUGAGUUGAAUAUUUGGCAUUUUGAGACAUUCUGAAGUACCGCGUGUGAUCCGGAGGAGAGCAGACUUCCAUCAACAGCCUCGACGCGUCGCUGCAGAUGUGCAGAUGUUGUUAUUCACAUCGUCGCCCACAGUGAGCCCUUCGCUCCGGGCAGCAGCUCACGAUCUACUUAUGAAAAGUCUGCUUAAGUCUCCGAUGGUUACCAUGGCGACGACGAGAGGAGCGCUAACCUCCCCCUCCUCAGGCCUUCGUCUUCAAGAGCAUCCCACGGCGCAGGUACGAGAAGAGGCCGAUGCCUCUUCACGUUCUUCUUCUCAAAGGCAGCAGAUGAAGCAUGAAGGUCUAUUGAUUCUUUGUGAAGCUGUAUGAAGACGUCUUUUACUCUAAAGGACGUCCUCAUUCGUCUGUCUGUGCUUAGCAUAACGACUGGAAAAAGGGGCAAAGGGCUGUUUGAAGGUAAUAAAAUCAGCUUAAAGUUGUGACCGUGUGUGUCAACUGCAAAAACAAAGCUUUUCUUCUUGUCAAAAUACAAUAGUUUUAAUGAAUCCCGUGAAACACCACAGUGAACACACAGACAUUUAGGACAGGCACAAACAGGCUGUUAAGCACAGUUAUAAACUCGAUUGGGAAUGAACAUUUAGAUGGAUACGAGCAACUGUGGAACAAAAAAAAUCACAACUUUGAAAAAACAGCAUCAUGUAAAACAUACAGUCCAGAAAAAGCCAAAACUUUAAUUACAACAGCUUGGAAUGAGUGGUGUCAACUUAUCUUCUUAAAUAAUAAUUCAUAAAUACAGAUAUACCAUAAAUAUUAUCAUUCAACAUAAAAGUAAACAAUUGAGAGAGGUGGUUUAAAGUGUUUAAAUUGCUUCAACGAAAUUAACUUUCACAAAAUGUUUAACUGAAAACACACGAGUGCAGGAAGAUGUGGGAGAAGAAGAAGGAUCUGCAAGAAGAAAAAGCGCACACGUGCUGCGCUUAGUAAAGCAACAGAUGUGCUGCCGGCUCAUGAGCUGCAUCGCACCUCCUGUGUUGUUGCCUUUGCAACUUGGUCAUGCUCUAUUUUAAAACCAUGACUCCCUGUAUUCCAAAGAGAAAAGGCGAGGGGGCCACCGGGUGACGACAGUGCCAAAAGAAAUGGGAGACUUCUUUUGACAGCACUGAAGAUGCUGCGCUGGGAGCAGAAGUAUUGCAUAGUUUUAGCGGCGUCACCAUUUGCCCCACCGAUGGCGUGUUUUUCCCUUUGGUCGGACGUACCGGUGAAGCCCUGAAACCUCCUGCAGAUUCCCUCCCGCGGCUCAUUAGAAUAAGGAGUGAGACGAGUCGAGGGUCUAUUUUUACAGGAGGAGGGGGUGAGAAAGCGAGACGGGAGGUGAGAUUUUCGCGAGGCAGAAGCGAGCGCUGAGAUUCUGAGUCUGUGCAGAGGAACGAAUGCAUCCGAUCCCGUUCCUCUCUGGUUAGAACAAAGCCCCCAAAACAUCAGCCAACAUCUGUAUUUUCUGAGACAAAACUCACCAUAAAACGUGGAUGGCUUCGUCUAUUAAAACAUAUCUAACUCUCCUCUACGAAGCACCAUAUCUUUGUGCCGCACUGCAUUGUGGGAGUGUGCAGAGCCUUUUUUUUUUCUUUUCGUAAUGGCACCACCCUCCUGUAGCAGAAGUGUCGGCUCAAGCGCCGGCCCGCGGCCGGAGGAGGGACACGAUAACGAUGGCGGCGACGAGGGAGAGCGGCAGCAGCAGGAGGAGGAGGAGGGCGAGCGGGACGGAGGGGGGCGGCGGCCACAAAGACGCCGGGCGCCCGGAGCCUCGUGGGAGCUCCGCCGGCCCCUCGGCGCCGGGCCGCAGGAUGACCAGCGGCCUGACCUGCGAGACGCUCUCCUGCGGGACGAAAGGGCGCACAUUUGAAUCCCGCGUCCGCGCCCGUCGGGGGGGGCCCGUCGGCCAUGUUGGCAGCCUUUCAUACCUCCGGGAUGGUCCUGCUGUGCGCCCUGGCGGGGCUCAGCCUGAGGGUCCAGCGGUGCGUCCGGCAGCUCCGCCCGCCGUCGUCCUCGCUCUCGGUGGUGUCUUGCCGCGCGACGCGAGGACGCUUGCGUCUCCGCGAGCUGAUUCGCUGGAGGGGACCCGGCUCCUGGAGUCUGAAACCAAUCGGGGGCGAGGGAGGAGGGGGG